UGCGAGGCCACGUUUCCGAAGCAGCUCGGUGAUCGGCGGCAGCGGCAGACGACGGCAUGAGACUUGAUAGUCCUCCGCAUACGCAGCUCUUGCCAGAAUCGAUCCAUGUCCGAUGAUUUUGGUCUCAGGUCUCAUUUUGUUCCGCGACUACCGCGCCGGGUCGGUGCUUGCCCGACAGUCUUUUAUUAUGGUUUUUCCCGCAACGGGCUUGUAUGGGGCCCACAGCCUCCGCGCAUCCCGCAAAAAGGAUGCUCGGUCCACACUCAAGGACAAGCACGCGAAAGGCCAAAUUCUAGCCACUGGUUUGAAAAAUCUAAAUGGUUGACUCAAGUCAAUACCUUUCCUCUUCUUUAGGAGAAGUGCUCGGCCGUCGUCGUGCACUUCCUCAGCGACUUGCCUGCCCACGGGAUAAAGCACGCGGUGAGUGCGAUUUUGGCCACAGGUGCGUCUGAAAAUUCCGAUAUUAGAGUGAAGUUGUAAUUUCCGUAAUAUUUUUGCCUUCUCCUUGCUUUGUCAGAUCUUGUGUUCUUCAUGAUUCUGCCCUCGGAAAAGGCGGGAUUUGUGAUACUCUUGUUUAAAAUAAAUACAGAUUAAUUUGGGCAUUUCUAUUCUAUAAAUCAAAUUAGUAUCAUGAUUUUGUGAUUUUUGGUUUCCAACUGUUUAUGUGUUAUGGGUCGCAGAUCCAAAAAAAAAUAGCAAAUAACCUAUUGUACCAAAAAAAUGUUUGAGUUGAAAUAAUGCAUGUUCCCUUAGAACAAAA